rnacentral:rRNA from 1 species
AUUGAACGCUGGCGGCAGGCCUAACACAUGCAAGUCGAACGGUAACAGGACACAGCUUGCUGUUUAGCGGAGGAGUGGCGGGCGCGGGAGUGGUAUCUGGCAAACUGUCUGAUGUAGGGGGAUAACAACUGGGAAAAGUACCGAAUACAGCAUAACGUCGCAACGGGAAAGAGGAGGGCCUCCUGGGAUCUUGCCCGCAGAUGUGCGCAGAUGGGAUUAGCUAGUGGGUGGGGUAACGGCUCACCUAGGCGACGAUCCCUAGCUGGUCUGAGAGGAUGACCAGCCACACUGGAACUGAGACACGGUCCAGACUCCUACGGGAGGCAGCAGUGGGGAAUAUUGGACAAUGGGCGCAAGCCUGAUGCAGCCAUGCCGCGUGUAUGAAGAAGGCCUUCGGGUUGUAAAGUACUUUUGGCGGGGAGGAAGGGAGUAAAGUUAAUACCCGGGCUUAUUGACGGUACCCGAAGAAUAAGCACCGGCUAACUACGUG